CAGCUUCCACCAUCGGUAGCAACUCUUUCUCUUCCUCUUCAAAAUGUGCUUUACACAUCAUCUGUUCAAACACCAACAACUGGUAAGUUUCAUUACAAGAACACACAUAAAACUGAAGAUUUGUUGUUCUUUUACCUGUAAUGAUUUGAAACGAGAAGCAAGACUAAAGAGCUCCUCAGAACAUAUCCCAGAAUCCAUUACAGCAAUCGAUUUGAUGUACUCCUUGAUUCCAUUCAUCAACGAUUCAAGAACGGGGAAGAGGAUCCUCUCCUCCAUCUGAGCGUGCUCAAGCAUCAGCUCCUGCAGCUGCGUGUAGCUCUUCGCGAACUUCCUAAUCUCCAUCUUCGGCGUCCCCACGGACGGAUCAGCGGCUCUCCUCCCUCCACGUGCCGCCAGAUCCUCCGACCACCUCAGCAUCCUCUCCACGUGCCACGUCAUGCUCCUGUGGUGAAGCCAGAUCGCCUUCACUAUCGGCGGCGUCGCCUCGUCGAAGCCUUCGAGGUUGAACUUCCAUAUCAUCAGCCUCGGCUCCGGGAACUUUUCCUCGAUGUAGCGGAGGAGAGCCUCCUGAGAUCCCGACGUUUUCUCCGAUCCGAUUUGGAUCGUCGGCUUCUGGUCUUCGGAGGGGACGAAGCGGAGGUUUACUUUCUUGUGGAGGAGUGCGAAGCGGAGGUAUGAAGUCGCCAGACUGUUCGACGGUCCGUAUAGUUUCACUGUGACGGUGGAGGUCGCCGUCGCCGUAGCCGUCGUUUCCUUAGCUGAAGGCGGAGGGAUUGGGAGUCGAGGAGCUGGAAGGUGAGUUUGUGCGGCGGCGGCGGGAGAGGAUACGACGGCGAGGGGAGGUUUGACGGCGAGGUCAAGCGGAGAGAUCUCAGCGGUGGAUACAGAGGAAGUCGAGAAGCAGUUUCCCAUUUUUGGAGACGGAAUUGGAAAACGUGUGGGAGAAAUAUAGAAUCUAAGGGAGAGAGGUGAUGACUAGAAGGAGUGAGCUGCAAGCAAUUGGAGUGAGAGAAAGAUAGAUGAGAAUGAGAAUGAGAAGAGAUUGUUGUUGUUGAGAAGAAAAAAGGUGUUACGCCAUUAUCACACACACACCAAAAGCUUAGGAUACAUGAAUUUUAUUCCUCUCCCCGAUCAUAGUGUUUCCCAAUAUUUAAUAUUUUAAAUGACCUUUUGUUUCAUAUACAAAAACAAAAUUGAAAAUCGAGAUUUCGAUCGA